GAUGAAGAACGCAGCGAAAUGCGAUACUUGGUGUGAAUUGCAGAAUCCCGUGAACCAUCAAGUCUUUGAACGCAAGUUGCGCCCGAAGCCAUUAGGCCGAGGGCACGCCUGCCUGGGCGUCACACGUCGUUGCCCCCCCAUCUACUCCUUCGGGAUUGCGGGGGGCGGAUGAUGGCCUCUCGUGCGCCUCGUCGCGCGGUUGGCCUAAAUGCCAAGUCCUCGGCGACGCACGCCACGACAAUCGGUGGUUGCGAAACCUCGGUUGCCUGUCGUGUGCGGUCGUCGCGCAUCGAGGGCUCGAAAAAAUUGCCGGGCUUCGGCUCGACUUUCAACGCGACCCCAGGUCAGGCGGGGUUACCCGCUGAAUUUAAGCAUAUCAUAAGCGGAGGA
rnacentral:misc_RNA from 1 species